GCGCUGACAGCCCCCUCUCCCUCUCAGCAUUUCCUCUCUCUCCUCUCUCUCUGCCUCGUUCUCUCUUUCUCUCCCUCCCUCUCUCUCUCUCUCUUUUUGUCUCUCUUUAUGUCUAUGGCAUUGUGUCUGAAUAAUUUUCAGGCCUUUUUUUUUUCCUUCCUUCUCAUAUGCACACGCUAAAAGAACUAGACAAAGAUACAAGGUGUUUGCUGCAGUCCACAUCUCUAGGAGAAAAAAAAAAAAAAAGCUCAUGAUUACAGUGCCACUUUUUUUUUUUCUUUUUCUUUUUCUUUUUUUUUUUUUCCACCUAUGCUCAGUGAUUAAACUUCCCCAGGAUGGGGAAGAAAUAAGAGGUGGAAUUGAAAUAGGGAUGAGGAAAAUACCAUUGCAGCAGCUGCAGUCAGUGGUGUCUGCUGCCAGAUGUGUGAAGGUUCCCGGGGUCCUGGACACUAAAAGGAUGCAUAAAAAUAUUUGGAGACAAAAGCUGCAUCCUCAGUGAUCAUUUUCUGUAUUUAACAUGGCAGCAGGCACCGUGUGGAGAAAUCAACAUGCUGGAUGUUGAACUGGACUUUCCUCCUUUCUAGGAUGAAAGGAUGUGAUCUAUCCCGUGCCAAAAGGGAGCUGAGCACAGAAGCGAUGAAUGCUGCAUAAUUAAGUACAGUAUUUAAUUUGGCUGUUGUGAAGCAAAAGAAUAAGGGGGAGGGGAAGAAAGUCUCCAAAACUAACCCGUCGCGAGCAAUGAACAUAUGGCUGUUACUAUCAGCACUGGUGUAUUUGCAGCGAUGCCUAUCAACAUCCACCAGAGAGCAGGGCAGCUCCAAAACCCACAUCUUUCAUGCUGUGGAAAUUGAUGGAGACAGCAACACAGCCAGCUUCUUGGCCAAACAACAUGGAAUGCAGUUCAUUUCAAAGGUACUGGUCUCUCAGCCUGUAAGGCUUGUGCAUGAUGUAUAUGAGAACGAUUUCCAGCAGAGAGAAGCUUAUCACAGAUCCACCUAAAAGCUGCAAAAAGGAAGCAUUUGGCAGGAGAAGGGAGAUUGUUUCAAAACAGUUGGAUGAAAUGCUCCUAUGGUGCUGGAGUUUUACUCUGCCAUGAUCAAUGAAUAAUUAUUGCUUUCUGAUGUCAGUGGGAUCUGAUGAGAGUAAGAUGGUUAGAGUGCAAGCAGACAGCAAAAACAGCUGUGACAAAAACUUGCUGGUCUCCUCCUGCUGUCCAGCCUACAAGAUGUGAUCAACUCCUGGCAUAAGAGAAAGAAAUUUUGAAAGGAAGAGACGAUGGCAUCAACAAUGUGCCCCUGUGUCUGAAAGACAUAAUUACUUGGUGGAGGAACAGGCUGCUCAUCUCCUCCUGGGCAGGAUGAGAAUGGUGCCGAUAAAUAAACAGAGAGGAGGCUUUCUGCUACUGUAGGCUGUGCUGGAGGCUUCACCUUUUCCUGUCAGAUGUGGACUUUGCUACAGCAUUUCAAGGUUUGUUUAUCCCUGUGCUGGAUUGCUUCAGACUGUUCUGCUUGGGCUUGUCAGCUGAAAAGCAGAGAAACAUCACAUGUUAAAUCUUGAUGAAAUUUCUAAGCAACAUAAAGAAGAGUGCGGCCUAUUAUUUAGAUAUGGCAACAUACAGCACUGAAAUAUCUCCAAGGACAAGGUCAUUGUCUCCAGAUCUCCUAAUGGGGAGAUUUCUUGAGGACGGAGUUAUAGGGAAGCCCUAUAUGACAAAGAUCAGGACCGUACUUUUAAGCAAUAAGGGGGUCUUUUUAGUGAAGGCUCUCUGGCCUGAAAAUAGGGAUGGGAUGUGCAUUAGCACCCGAUGGGACCACUCUACAUAAUGUUUCCUCCAGAACAAUGGCAUUUUCUUCCUUCCAUUAUAUUCCUCUGCAACCUACAUACUUUUCAAAAAUAUAUUUUUUUACACUUAUAUAUGCUUAGGCUUCAGUAUGAGACCUGAUACAUGUUGGAUUAUGAUGUAAAUUCUUAUGUAUGUCUUUUCAUGAUGCUUCAAUAAAGCCAUCAAAAUUGAAAAUCAAAGAGAAACAAAAACAAAGGGGUAAGAACAUAUGGAGUGGGAUAAACCAAUUAUCAUCUUCAUUAUGAGUGUUGUUUGCUAAAAACUUCAGCUUUGAUUUAGCUUUAUGCGGUAACUCCAGUGGAAAUUUAUUUUACAGAAAUACAAAAAAAAUUCUGAAACUCUUACUUAGGUUUUGCAAGAAUCACUGACGCUCUGUAGAUUGCAUAGGACUACAGAACAGUGGAUUAGCAUGAAAAGAAGAGGGUUUCUACCUCUGAGAAGGUUUUUCUUCCUGUUCCAAAGUAUAUUCAUCGUGCUGUAUAGCUAAAUAAUAGGUGUGUCCUGUUCUAAGUCACAACACAAUCUUAGGAAUUUUUGCAACUCCUUUUGAGGCAAAGGUGUUUCUUUGUCUGUAAGUGGCAUGGCUACUGUGAUAAAUUGUUAAAUAUAUGCAUUUUUAGUAACAAAUACAUAAAAUAAUUAAAUUUCAAAUAAACAUAUUUGAAAUUUGUUUUGACAUGCAGUAAUUUUUAUUCCACUCUGGAAAGAAUGAGUUUAUAGAUUCAUGUUAUGAUUAAGGGUUAGCAUUAUUUUUGUUGUUUCUACAGUAAAUAAAACUAAACAACAACAAGCUCCACAACUCAGGCCUUACCUUCACAAAACUUUUGACUGUCAGGUUUUCCCUCUUUGUUCCUGCCCUUGUCAGUAUAAUGCAGCCUGGUGACUUUUGUCUCUGCAGCCAGUCUACCUCCCGUGAAGGUGCACACAGGGACACUAAAAAUUGCUAAGACUUUUGUGCUUCUGUUAUUGCCCCCAGACCUGAGAUCAGGUGAGGCUACAGGCAAGUGAGGUAAAGUCAUUAGAAUCUCCUCAAAAUUGGUUGUUAAUGAGCCAUCUGAUGAAGCAGAAGGAAAUGUUUUUGCUGCUUGUACUGACAACAAAUAAAGGGCAAGGGAAAAGAUUUGGAUGUAAAAAUAUCCCCCUUUGCAGGAGCAGCAUGAAUCAGCUGCAGUCUGUUUUGCAGUCACAUGCACAUUCUGAUAUAGGGUUUGGCAGCACAGGCGGGAAUUUUGCAGAAGGAUAUUUGUAUGUUUAUGUUGUAAAAUAAUACUAAACCUGCUUGGUUUGGGCUACAAAUUUCACAUUGUGAACUAGUUAAGUUCUGGGUUUUUGUCAGUAGAGAAUUGUGAGGCUAAAGUAAGCUUGAGUUCCUCAUUAGGUCAUUUCUGCACAUUUCUGGAUCCCACUUUCUUCUCUCCAGUCCCAUUAUUACUCAAGGUUUAUUUUCCUUUGGACUAAUAAUGCCAUCUUGUACACAUAAUCUUUUCCCUUCUCUGCUUCCUCCCCACUCUCCAUUUCUUCACUUCUUCAUUCACAUAUUCCCUUUGCUGUUUUAAUUCGUAUCAUUGUCCUUUCCCAGCGUUUUUUCAUUUGUUCAUCCCCCAUUCAGGUUUCAAUUGGGCAAAUAAUAUUCUCCUCUUGGAGAAAUGGAUCUUCACUACGGUGAAGUUCCACUGUGAAUAUUCACAAGCUGGAAAUAAAACAUGGUUAUGUGUCAGUGACUGGUUCUCUAGGAAGACGAUCUUUAAAUUAAGAGGCUUUCAUUAAUGUCCUUUGUAAUGUAAAAUGAUUUGGCUUCAAAUUACUCAGUAUCUGAAUAUGAGUUAGACAAAAUACUUGUCAGGAUUUCAGUGGAUUAUGAAGCCUUACCUUAUAUAUCUUAAUUGUUUGAAUUUUCAUUGGAUUUGUAUGGACUGCCAAGCUUUAUAAUUUGUGUGUAUCUAUUUCAGUAUGAAAUCCUUGACUGCCUUAACUUAUUUUACUGCCCUUCUUGAUGCUAUAUCAAUGUUAAGCAUCAUGACACUAGUUGAGUGCAUUGCAUGAUCCUUAUUUCAACUUCAUUUUAACAUGUUUUUGGAAGCUUUAAAGAGGCAGAUAAUGUUCCAAAUUCCAAUUAGAAGCAAACAACAGAUUAGCAGAGUCUUUUGUCAAAUAGGAAAGCAGAAUUCUUUACCAGCAAGAGAGAGAUAUAACGUACACACUGGAGUGUAGAUGGUUUGAAGAAGUGGCUGCCUGUAAGCAUUAACAGACAACAAACAGUACAGAAACAUCGUUUCUUAUAAACUGUCAGAGCCUAGCCCUUUUACAAACUGUAAUCUUGACCCCAAGUCUUGCAUAGUAAUGAAAUAAUGACUAUACCUAGAUAUUAAAAAAAAUAAUGAAAAAACAAUUUGUAAAUUUUAUAUUGCCCAAUUCCACCUAGCAGCGAAUAGGAAAUAAAACAACAUUUUAAGAUAAGUAUAUUAAAGUCCAUUGCAUUUGAAAAGACAUGGAUUGUCAUUCCUGCUAUCUUAGGCUGCCUCAGCCUCUCUCCUAUGGGUACAUAUUAUGUUUGUUUUCAGAAUUGCUGAAGACAGAAAUACAGUCUGUGAGUUUGAGUGAACUUUCUUCACCUAAUUUCAAAUCUGCUUGAACUUAGUGACUUCAUAUAUUUGAUUUAAGCUUUCUGAGUUUGCAUUCAAUAAGGGAGAAGAAAGUGAAGGGAGAAGAGACAGAAAAUCCAAUGCAGAAAUAAUGUAAGGAAAAAAAAUGAGUUUGAUAUGCAUGCCACAUGUGAAUUACUUGUUUCUCUUUUAGUACCAUCUGUAUUGUGUAGCACAGAAGUUCUCCUUGCCCCUUCCAAAAAAUCAAGUUGGUGUUUUUGUUUUUAAUUUAAUCAUGCAUAAAGAAGAAUGGAGAGGUUAGAAAUAAUUUGUAAUAAAAUGUUCCUUAAAUUUGAGAUGUAAUAAAUGUCCACGAGACAGAGAAGACAACUCAAUGAAUACAGAUAUCCUGACAAUAUCUGAGACAUUAAGAACAUUCAGCGAGUGUUUUCAUUUCAUCUGAUGCAGCCUUAGAGGAUAGACAGCUAUUACCAUUUAUUUGUGUCCAGCUUUGCAACAUAUUACUCCAAAAGCAAAUCAUGCUGUGAUGGAAGAUGUGAAAUUGAAUGAUCUAUGUUGCUCUCCUAUUGUCUGCCGGAAACUCUGUCCACCCCUGAUUUUAAUCACGUCCGCUUAGUGGUCAAGCUUAUUCACCUUGCUGGCCAGAUAAUCUGGUUCAGUGUCCACCGUUGCUCUUGCAGACUGGAAGUAAAAUCUUUUAUCUGUUUUCCCAGGCUCAGUGUUUCUUGCUGGGAGUCUUUGGUAGAAGCAGUAAAACUUACUGUAAAUAUUCUAGAAGUUAGUAACAUGCCUUCCUACAGGCACAUCUUCAUGAUUUUUCCAGUCUUUGUGAACUUAAAUAAAAUCUUUUGAGAUUUCUGUUCCUCUGUUUAUUUAUUUAUUUAUUUUAUACUUGUGGUAUAAAUAUCUUCACUGCUUCAAAUCUGAACUGUGAAUUGUCAACACAAUUCCAAAACAAGAGCUAAAUUUCAUUAUUUUCAUUUUCAUUUGUAUAAAUGAGAAUAUAAUUAAAUCCCACUAUCAACAUUAUGCCUGCCUGCGUAUACAGGUAUUCUUUUGUAGUACACCCACCUGACCUUGCUUAUUACAUUCUAGGGAUAUGUUAGAACACCCUGAAAUACAGUGCAUGUGGACUUGGCAAAUGCCAUGCUCCCUAUGUCUAACAGCACUUCCUGGAGGUUGAAGAGUGGUGAUUUUCUGUCUAUGAUCUAUAGAUAUCAGUACUUCACGUCUGAGGUGUCUGCAGUAGGUAACUUGAAAGAAGUUUAUAUGUAGUUUAUACUGUAGUUUAUGUGAAAUUUGGCAUUUAUAGGUCAAAACCAGUAAAGCCACUAGCAUACAACCGUAUAAUGUCUUAUGCAUUUCUUUGUCGGUUAUUGGUAAUUUAAGACACUUUAAUUGUCUACAGCCUUUGUAGUUACCAUGAAAAUGUGUUGCAUUUUGGGCUGUUAUUGAGCCAGGAACCUGAUGAAAUGCCGAUCGUAAACUUCUUUCCCUCUCCCUGUUAUUGCACUAAAUGCAUCUGGUCAAAUGAAAUCAAAUGAUUUGACAACAGGUCAGUUUAUAACACAGCUUUUAAAAUUAUUUUUAUGUAAUAUAUAUAAAACUACGAAUGCAACUUUAUUAUAUUAACAAAGGCAUUGCAAGCAUGAUUAUGCGUGCAAUUGAGAAAUUGUCACAGAAUUAGAAGCUGGGGGAUCCCAUUGCAGGUCAUAGUUGGGUGAGUCUACGCACAUUAUUAUUAUUAUUGUGCCAUGUAGACUAACUAAAUCUGGUUGUCACUAGCUAAUUCAUUGCAUUUAAUUGUAGAGGUGUUAUGAUUUUUCUGACAGUGGUUAUCGUGCAAGUCAGCACUGAACGUCCUCCCAGCUCUUUGUUUCUCCUUACCAUGUAUUGCAUCUCUUCCUGCAAGUUCUCAUCUUCUGUAGGUGUCAUCUUCCCUUUCUCCAUACAGAUGUCCCAGUUGCACUGAUCGUGUAUUCCCUUCCCAGGAUCUCCUCUGCUUUCACCAACACUGCAUGAGGAGGACCAAGGCAAGAACUGCAAAACACCUCUCUGUCCACCUUACACAAUCCGUGAUCAAAGAAUCUUGCCACUGCUGUAUCCUUGGAAUAUCUUUUGAAGAAAGAUGAGAUAAGCAAUGAGUUAAGGCUAAUUCUUCUAGCUUAAACUCAGGGAUAAACACUGACUUUGGUUGUAAUCCAUGAAAUGGAGGGAUUUUCUCAUACUUUUUGCAGAGGUUUAACUGGUGUAAGGUAACAUAUAUUUUCCAAAAAUAAAAAUGUAGCUGAGAUUCCAUUUCUCCUCUGAUGGGAACCAGCCAGCCUAGUGGACAACAGGCACUGCAGCUCAGCUAUCACUACUCUAGCUGCCACAUUUUCUGAACUGACUCCAGAAAGAUCUUUCUUUUUUCUUGACUCAGUUCCAUAACUAAAAAAUGAAUAACAAAUUGUCUUUCUGUCCUUCUUUUCUGUAACAAUUCAAAGGAGUCUGGAAGGCAGUGAGGACUGCCCACUGCACUGCAUCCAAAGCAGUGAACCCUGAGAAAGAAGGUAACAAUGAAGUAUACAUUUUAAAGAAUCACAGAACUCAGAAGUUUUUUUCCUAAAUUAUUCUUUAAUAUGUCAUUUUGAAUUUGCAUUAGCAUAGACUGAGAAACUUGAAUGGACUGAUGUACUGAAUAUUGAUUUAAUUCUAUGAAUUCAUAUUGAGAAAAAUAUAGUAGUAAAAAUUGAUAAAAAUACACAUUUACUAAUACAUGUAUUUCUAUAAAUAAUGGAAAGCCUCCUCAUAAUAUUUUACAUUGAGAACUAAAAAGGAUCCUUUGUGGAAUAUGUGGUUUUUUUCUGUCUUACAUCAAGCAAUUAUUAUUAUUAUUAUUAUUAUUGUAUGCAUUUACUUUAUUUAUUGAUUUUUCUAUUGUUUAUGAUGUUGAUAGUGCUGUAUUAUGACUUUCAAAGGUGAUUUUCUGACAAUGGAAGUACACGAUCAAGUGUAAUUCAAACCUUAGGUACAUAUUACCUCAGUUACUUUAAGGAUUUAAGUGCAAUGGCAGCGAGAAAGGAGAAAGGUCCCAACUCUGCUGCAGACAGCUUUUGUGACCUUGGUCAAACUGCUUAAACUCUCUGAGUGAAAUCCUACCACCACGAAAGUCAAGAGGAUUUUUGCCAUUUAUUUGAAUGGGGAAAGGACAUAUUUGAAUUCUGAAUUGUUAAUAAGAACAGGAUAACAUGUAUCUAACUCUCACAGCUCUUGUGAAGCUAAUUAAUCAGUAGAGUACUUUGGGAUCCUCAGAAGUAUAAUAGAAACUGCAAGUACUAUUAUUUAUUUGUCAUGUAAUUGGAAGCUAGCAGGGUAAAAAGUCAUUGAUAAAAAUCCAUAUCACAAGGUCAUUUCUUUCAAUGUUGCAAAUCUCUUCUUCAAUCAAGAGCUUUGUAACUGAUGAAAAGUACAGCCUAAUCAUAACAUUAUCAAGUCAAUUUAAUUGGUGCACAUGAGAUCAUAAUGAAGUCAUUUUUGCUAGUUACAGGCUUAAAAAUAUUUUUAUAGCACCCUUCAUCCUAGUGGAAACUUUAAAGACCUCACAGACAGGAUUAAGCUUCUCUGCCUGUGUUAUACAUCUGCCUUUGUGUGGCAGACACCGUCUGGUUUUAUAGUGUUUAAAAAUUUUACUGGUAAGUAUGAUAUUAUGGUGUUUAUACCUAUUAUCUAUUAAGUCAUUUACACUUUUAAUAUUAGUGUUCAUAUAUGCCAAAGUGCAGAGGCUGCACUUGUGGAUUAAAGGGGGUUCUGAAGUAGUAGAUUUUUCUUAUUUUUAAGUUAAAACACCAAUAAUUGUCACUAUUGCUCAAUCAGUUUUUAAGCACACUCUUUGUCUGUGGAAAUACCUUUCCUGCUGGCUGACAUGUCUGCAUGUUUUUGCACAAUGUUCUGUUUCAUUUUGGCAGAAACUUGAAGCCCAAAAACUAAAAUUGGUUUGGAAGUGAAGGUUUGGAGCAGCAAGGCUCCUACCAGCAAGCCCUAUUAUGUUGAUGAGAUUGCUUAAUUUACCUUGAUGUAAGCUUCCCUAUUGCAGCACAUGGAAGCAGUGCUAUAUAUAUAUAUUUUUAUUUUUCCACUCAUAGCCAAUGUGCGUGCAGAACUGGUGUGUCAGUGUCAGGGUCCUCUUGCCUCUUGCACUCUUGCACAUGCAUGGCUCUCCUCUUCAAGUAGUGCUCUCUGUGGCUGCAAAUCCUCAUGGACUACAGCUACAUUAUUACUCACACUGAAGUUCAUUGUACCACACUGACAAUGUUAAAGGGACACGAAAGGGAAUGCUAAAGGUAUCCUUCCAUCUACAGUAGUUGAAGGAUCCUGCCAUGUAAGAUCUGCCAAGCACUGGGUAUAAUGCUUUUUUCCAUUCGUCUGUUCUCCAGGCACCAGUUGGUGGCAUUGCUGUAAAAGUCCUGCACAUCCAUUGGAAUUUAGUUUAGCCCAACCAAUGCCUCAGGUUUACCGUGAAUACAAAUAAAAUCAUGAUUCCCAGUUUCUCUCUCCAAGAAAAACAUCUGGGCUCUUAGGAAACAGAGAACACAUCACCCUUCAGGCUGGCAGAGGUUUUGCUUUACAUGUUCCUGGAUAACUUGAGAAAGGAUGAGGAAGGAAUUAAUGCCUGUAGAAAACACUGUAAAUACAUUUACAUCCAGCUGUAAGAUAUAUCCCUAAAAGUCAGUGGUGCUUCUAACUUGUACAUUUCAAUAUUGAUUCUUUGAAUAUUGGGUAUUACCAAGAAAAUAUCAGGGCCAGCAGGUAUGUAUUUUUGCCAGAAGGCAGGGUAAGUGACUUGCCUGUGUCUGCCAGAGGUCAUGCUUCCAACGCUCCUGAAGGCAGCAGCUGCCAAGCUGGGUGCCCAGAAGAGCUGCAUGCCCUUCAGACAAACCUUUCCAUGCCCCUCGUUCCUUGCAACGAUAACAUGAACCUAAUUUUCGUCCAGAGCUUAUCACAGAUAGACCUCAUUGUGCCACAAUACAUAUAAACGGUAGUAUAAUCUGGUGUCUUCUGAAGUUUAAGUUUUAUAUUAGCAACCUCCUAGCUUCAGAUUUCAACAUACACAUAUUACAGUUCUUCACUGUGGGAGUUAAGAGGUGGUGUGCUGUGCUUGCAAGGAUAUUUAGGAAUGAACCAGAAGCCAAUUAUGCACAGAAGAAAAAAGACAUAUAUAGGCAAUCUUAUUUGUGGAUUAAAAAAAAAAGCAUUGUGAUUUCCCCACAUUUUUGGUUUUUCAGAUGUAUUUAUUCUCAAUAUUCUCAAUCAAAAAUGCUCAAAAAUUGCGUUCAGUUUUCAUUGGUAGGUACCUCCUAUUUUUGUGAACUCAAAAUAGAUGGAUGGGUAAGAAACAUAGUUACAAGUAUUGAUGCUAAAUUGUUUGUUUGAAUACUUGCACCACUAAACAGAUUUCCUGAAGUUGCUUCAGGUCUUGAACAGCAAAAUGGUUGGAGGAUGAUUUAAGUGGCCUGACUUACUUACAAAUUUGAGGAAAUAGCACAGAACUAUUUUAACAGUACUCACUUCAUGC
ensembl:lncRNA